rnacentral:lncRNA from 1 species
UCUCCAGAUACACUCGGGAAGGCGAUGCCACAGAGCUUGGAGCUGAAAGGAAUAACAAAACAUGCUCUUAACCAUCAUCUCCCUCCCGAGAAGCUGGAGGAAAUUUCCCCCACCAGUGACAGUCAUGAGAAAGACAUAAGUUCCCAAAGCGAGUCUGACAUCACAAGAGAAUCACCUUUUACAUCAGCCGAUGCUGGGAAUUCACUGUCUGCUUUUCCAAGUUAUACAGGCGCAGGGAUAUCUACUGAAGGCAACUCAGACUUCUCCUGGGAAUAUGGUGAACUCGAUCAAAAUGCCACUGAAAAAGCCUAGGCAAUGUUCACAGCCAUUGAUGAACCCUUGUAUGAGCAGAAGUUGAGUGUGCAUACCAAGAGUCUACAAGAAGAGCGCCAACAGUGGACAGCUAGCUUUCCUCACCUCAGGAUUCUAGGUAGGCAGAUAAUCAUUCCAAGUGAAGGUUAUAGAUUGUAUCCUAGAUCCCCUUCUGCUGUUUCAGCUUCAUAUGAAACAACCUUGUCUCAAGAAAGAGAUUCUACUAUAUUUGGUAUAAGGGGAAAGAAGUUACAUUUUUCAUCUUCGUAUGCUCAUAAAGCAUCUUCUAUUGCCAAAUCCUCCAGCUUUUCUUUUAUGGAAAGAGACGAGGAAGACUCUAUAAUCAUCUCCGAAGGAAUAAUUGAGGAAUACCUAGCAUUCGAUUGCACAGAUAUGGAAGAGGGAUUUCAUGGGAAGAAAUCAGAAGCAGCUACAGAGAAACAGAAAUUAGGGUAUCCUCCCAUUGCUCCAUUUUACUGCAUGAAAGAAGAUGUCCUUGUUUAUGUGUUUGACAAUGUAUGGAGCAAGGUUGUGAGCUGUAUGGAGCAGUUGACACGUAGUCACUGGGAAGGAUUUGCCCACCAUGAUGAGAGUAAUGUUGCAGUUACCAGACCCGUUUCAGAAAGUUUCUGUGUGCUGAGUGAGCCACAUCCUUUGGUGUUACCACGAGUGCCACAGUCUAAGGUGCUGUCCGUUACCUCAAAUCCAAUGAGUCUCUGUCAAGCAAGUAGUCAUCAGCCAAAUGUUAAUGGUCUCUUGGUUUAUGGGAUGCCUCUACAGCCAAGAAAUCUCUCCCUAAUGGACAAGCUCCUAGAUCUUGAUGACAAGCUACUUAUGAGGCCUGGGUCCAGUACCAUCCUUUCAACUCGAAAUUGGCCAAAUCGAGCUGUGGAGUUUUUAGUACAUCAUCUCUGUCAUACACAGUGCAGUCCACCAAGAGACGCAAUCCAUCGCCACGAACCCUUCAUCCGAUCAGCACAAGCCAUUCACGUGCUGGAAUACCAAGACUUGUGGAAGAAAUCCUCAGAGGAGCCCGAGUCCCAGCGGCAGCCAACUGGCUCUCCUCUCCCUCACCAAUGUCCCUGAGUCGAAAUAAUCUGCUACCACCUACUAGCACAGCUGAAGUGGAACUUGUGAGCACUGUGGGGCCACAAAGACAGACGGAGCCCCGUGGCGACUCCAGUCGAGCUCCAAGUGUGGUGGUGGAUGAACUUAACUAUCAGCAGCCACAAGAAAGGCUCCUUUUGCCCAACUUUUUCUCCAGGCCCAACACAACUCAAUCAUUUUUGGUAGAGUGA